rnacentral:rRNA from 1 species
GACGAACGCUGGCGGCGUGCCUAAUACAUGCAAGUCGAGCGGAAUGAUGAAGAAGCUUGCUUCUUCUGAUUUUAGCGGCGGACGGGUGAGUAACACGUGGGCAACCUACCUUGUAGAUUGGGAUAACUCCGGGAAACCGGGGCUAAUACCGAAUAAUCCAUUUUGCUUCAUGGCGAAAUGUUGAAAGGCGGCUUCGGCUGUCACUACGAGAUGGGCCCGCGGCGUAUUAGCUAGUUGGUAGGGUAAUGGCCUACCAAGGCGACGAUACGUAGCCGACCUGAGAGGGUGAUCGGCCACACUGGGACUGAGACACGGCCCAGACUCCUACGGGAGGCAG